rnacentral:rRNA from 1 species
UACGGAGGGGGCUAGCGUUGUUCGGAAUUACUGGGCGUAAAGCGCACGUAGGCGGCUUUGCAAGUUAGAGGUGAAAGCCCGGGGCUCAACUCCGGAAUUGCCUUUAAAACUGCAUCGCUAGAGUUGUGGAGAGGUAAGUGGAAUUCCGAGUGUAGAGGUGAAAUUCGUAGAUAUUCGGAAGAACACCCGUGGCGAAGGCGGCACUCUGGGACGGUACUGACGCUGAGACGCGAAAGCGUGGGGAGCGAACAGG